GCGCAUGCUCACUUAAGGCGUUCUUCCCUUACCAGCUGAAAGUUUCUAGACGAAGGGCAUAUACCAGUUAAACUCCGCCAUUUUGCCUCUCAGUGUUCAAGCUUGAGCCCACGCAUCCAACUCCUGAGAUCUUACUGGGAAGCUGCUGAUCAUCAGUUUCAGGUGUUUCUAUCUUUUGGGAGACUGCCCUUCCCUGAUGCUAGCUGUAACCAAUUAUUAUUUUAGAGAGACAGUUAAUGACCACCUGACCAUCACCUGACGGUCAGCUGACAUUCCUGGUCGGGAGGAGCCCUCUCCUGCCCUGCUUAUGUCUGCCUGACUACCUACUGUAAUGGACGCAGCCAGCUGGAACAUCGGCUUUGCUCGGAAGUCAGCAUGGAUCAGCCUUACGUUCAUGGCCUCCAGGCCCUAUUCUCCUGCCUCACAGGGACCGGCCAGGAUCUCUAUCCUUACAGCACGUUGGAAUGUAUAUGCUCCUCUCCCCACAUCGCCUUAGGGAGCAGGCAGGUGUCAGGGGCAGCACAAGGACGGCCAACAGGACAGGUGCAUAAGUAAGACUGAUACAAUUUGAGGGCUCAGCUCUGAGAAUACUCUAAACAGGAUCCAAAUAACAUUGUUGCCUCCUAACCAGCAGGUGGGAGCUCAAGAGAAAGACUAGACUUGUUCCACAUUAAAUAAGUAAUAGUAUUUUUUCCCUUGAACAUCUUGAUCAUAAUAUCAAUUAAAUGUGUGGCCCUGAUUCAAUAGCUACCAUUUAUUGAGCAUCUAUUUUGUGCCAGACUUGCUGCUGGUAUUUGAUAGUGCAGUGCCUGACAAGUAGACACACUGGCUUAAAUGUCAUUGUUACUGGUAUUAUUGUUACAAUGAUGUUUUAAUCCUCCCAAUGUAAUUAAGCCUUUAUUAUAAAGAUCAUAAGAUGUUCACUUUACUUAUUUCCUUGUCCUUUUCUUCCUCCGUGCAUGCUUGCUUGCACGAGGGAAGUCACUAGUAAUUGAUUAACUUCCUACCCUAACCCCCAGGGCUGCCUGCAAGAUUGAUGAACUGUUUUUCUUUCAAAGAACAAUGAUCCUUAGGUCAUGCAGACCUCCUUGAUAGCAUCUAGGAGUUUGUUUGGGCCGAGGAACUCAAACAGUUUUGAGUAUUGGGGGAAUCCAUCUCCUGCAUACCUGCUUUGCUCAUAAAAGCCCCCAGUUAUGUUAAAAGGCAGAUUGGAUUUGAGAGGCUGCUUCUCCUGCCUUCUUGCUUUAGCCGAGUCAAAUAAACCUUCCUCUGCUUCUAAGUGCUGAUGUGUCGGUGUUAGGUUUGCUGUAUAUCAGGUACAUGAACCCAAAAUUUGGGGUUUGAUAACACUAACAGCUCUGCACAGUAAAUAUUGUCAUCCAGUCUUACUAAUGGGGAAAACAUGUGCACAGGACUUGCCCAAGGUCACACAUUUAAUCAGUGGCAAAGUCAGAGUUAAAAAUAUUUAUGUACUUUUUUUUGUUUUUAUAAUUCAAGGAUGUAUCACUAUUUUAUGUACCACGAAGAAAGAAAAACAGCUAACUAUUAAACUAUAAUACAGUAUUUCCUUCGCAUUUAGAAUUUUUGUUGUAAACUCAUUAUAAAGAGCUCUUUUAAACU
ensembl:lncRNA LINC02318 long intergenic non-protein coding RNA 2318